UUUGGUACACUUUCUUCUAUAAUUUUUCGUCUUCCAAAACUAACAACUUAAACUUAAAAAAUAAAACUAACAACUUAAACUUAAAAAAUAAGUUGAGUGGCUAAUAAUGGUGUGUCACACUGUAAACUUCAAAACUUUCCCUCUCUCCACGUCACCAACAAGGAAGAUCACGAAGCGAUAAUUACGGUGACGGAAAUAACGGCGCACCCAGCGGUGGCGUGGCGAAACAUACGAAUUCAAGAGUGGCACCUGCAGAGGUCUCACUGGAUGUCGCCCUUCAAGUGGGACAAGCUGUCGCGGAGCUGGUGGAGGUGGGAGAGCACGAAGGAGUUCUCCUGGCGGUCGAAUUGGAGGAAGAGGUCGUAGGCGUGGUCGCACUGGGCCUGGGAGAGCGGCAGCCCAUUAACGGGGAGGACGGAGAGGAGGCGGGAGAGUGGCGCAUAUAGGUCGCGCGCGCGGAGGAUGGUGAGGAGGAGGCGGAGACAAAAGUCAGAUGUGGUUUCAUUGUGGUCGAAGUAGGUGGAGACGAGACACGUGAGGUUGCUAAUAGGUUUGGACUUGGCGAGGGCUUCACGAAUGCUGUUGGAGUCAGGUUGGAGGACCUGAUAUAGGACAUAACAGUGGUGUGAGUAUAAUUGUCUCGGAUGGUAUUGAAAGAUGCCACAAAAUGCAAAAGAUGCUUCCAGUUGCACAGAGCAUAAUUAUGGCCUAGACCAAGUAUGUAGCGAUCAAUCAUUCCAGUAGAAUUACAAGCAGGUCCAAGACCGCCUUUCACUAAACAAUUGACCU
rnacentral:sRNA from 1 species